rnacentral:rRNA from 1 species
CGUAGGUGGCAAGCGUUGUCCGGAAUUAUUGGGUGUAAAGGGGUGCGUAGGCGGGAAUAUAAGUCGGAUGUGAAAUGCCCGGGCUCAACUCGGGAGCUGCAUUCGAAACUAUAUCUCUUGAGUGAAGUAGAGGCAAGCGGAAUUCCUAGUGUAGCGGUGAAAUGCGUAGAUAUUAGGAGGAACACCAGUGGCGAAGGCGGCUUGCUGGGCUUUUACUGACGCUGAGGCACGAAAGCAUGGGGAGCAAACAGGAUUAGAUACCCUGGUAGUCCAUGCUGUAAACGAUGAAUGCUAGGUGUGGGGGGUCUGACCCCUUCCGUGCCGGAGUUAACACAAUAAGCAUUCCACCUGGGGAGUACGGCCGCAAGGUUG